rnacentral:rRNA from 1 species
CGCGUAGGCGGCCAUGUUAGUCGGUUGUGAAAUCCCUUGGCUCAACCAAGGAACUGCAACCGAAACUGCAUGGCUCGAGUCCGGGAGAGGGUAGUGGAAUUCCCAGUGUAGCGGUGAAAUGCGUAGAUAUUGGGAGGAACACCAGUGGCGAAGGCGGCUACCUGGACCGGUACUGACGCUGAGGCGCGAAAGCGUGGGGAGCAAACA